UUCAUUCAUUCAUUCUCUCUGUUCUCUGAAUCCAAUCCAAUUCAAUUCAAUGCAUAAACAAUGUUUCCAUUUUCACUAUUAUAUAUACACAACAACUCAUUCAUUCAUUCACUCACUUUCAUCGUUUCAUUUCAAUUCCAAUCCCAAUUCCAAUGGUGCAUCACCCACCCAACUCUCACCCCGAGCUACCACCGCCGCCGCCACCACCACCUGUGCCACCGAGGCCCUUUGCCGCCUCCUUCUCUUUAAGGUGGGCGCUCGGAAACCGCAACCGCAACGCCAAAAUCCCCAGGCGGUUCCAAUUCGGAAGGCUGCCACUCCCUACCACCGGAGGUGUCAACCCGGUUCUCCGACUCGGGUUGUCGCCUCUGAACCCGGCUCGACGUAGCGCUCUCCUUAUCAACCCUGAACCCAACUCUAACCCGAACCGGUUCGCUUCUUCUCCUCCAAAGGAGAAAAUUUUGGUUGAACCGGUUGAGGGUUCGGAGAAUACACCUGAGGAUAAGGGCACAAACAACCUCUUGCUCCGGUUUUGUGUGAAAAAGAGGGACCUUUCUGCUCCCAGUGCUGAUCCUGAACCUGAACCCCAGGCUGAGGCUAAGGCUGAGGUUGAGGAGGCUGAGGUUUUGGAGGAAGGAGAAAGUAACCCUUUGGUGAAGACAUGGAAUUUAAGGCCGAGGAAGGUUGUGGAGAAGAAAACUGCAGUGAAGGGUAGGAAUGGUGGCUCGUUGGGCCAUGAUGCUGGCAGAACGAGAAGCAGGGUGCGGCAUGGUUCAUCAAGUCGGGGUAAGAAUGGGGGGCUUAAGGAGCUUAAGGAGAAUGGUGGUAGGAGGAAGGAGGAGGAAGAGGGGGUGGUGUUGAAGACGGCAAUGCUCUCAUUGACACUGACAAAAGAGGAGAUUGAGGAGGAUUUUCUCAAGGUCACUGCUGCCAAACCCCCCAAGAAGCCCAACAAGAGACCUAGGGCUGUUCAGAAGCAGCUUGAUGCAGUUUUUCCUGGCCUUUGGUUGACAAGUGUGAGUGUGACCCCUGAUUUAUACCAAGUUCCUGACCCACCUCUUAAGGGUUAGGGUGUUCACUUGCUAGUUCUGGGAUCAGAAUGUUCUCUGAAAUUCUGACAUCUUCGAAUAUCAAACUGUUCUGUCUUAGUGACAUCCGGAGAAGCAAAUGGAGAAAGUAUAAUAGGGUUGAUAUGACAGAAUGAUGGAUCUAUUCUUUGCUCACUGGAUGCUUCAAAUUCUUCAUGUGCUGCGCGUUUGCCAUUGAACACAGUUCAUUAUGAAAUGUUUCUGUCUCUGUUCCAUCAGAUCAAAUAUAUUCUAGAUUACAAUGGACAAGAAUCUUGAUGCUGCAGCUUAUCAAUAACAUGCAGAUAAGAAUGCCACUACGAUUCCUGCACCUCAACCGAUCAAACCUUUUUCGAGUUUGUGCGCUUCAUGUGAAAGGCCAAAGGAAAAUAGCUGAUGCUGCAUUUCUUGAGAGUGAUUCAAUCGUUGGUUUCGCUACUUGUUGACUCUUCAGAUGUACUACUUCCCU